GGAGAGAAUUUGCCAAAAAGGCUUGACAGACUUUAAACUUCACAGAGCAUUUUUGCCCAUUUAUGAAUCUCGUUUUGAUCUACUAAAACUUCUGGGAGGGUGGGAGGAGAGACAGGGUAACAGCAGAUCUAUUAAAAUAUUUUUGCAGCAAUCAAUUAGGGUUUAUGGUGUGAAAAAAUAUAUAGGUCCUGAAAAGAAACUUCCACCACCCAUCAGAUCUGAUUCUUUCUUGUCUGUGACUGGCUACUUUGGGGGACUGAGGAGUAUCAGUGAUUAAUUGCCUAGCUGCCAGAGAAGUACAGGCAUGCAGUACAUCAUUAAAAGCCAGAGAUCAGAUAGGCUGAAUUAAAAUGGGAAAUUCUGAAUGAAUAUAUUGUUUCUACAUACAAUUAAAAGCAGAAGCCAGAAAUCAUUGGCUUUCAUAAAUUACGACAGUGGCAGCUCUCCAGUGAAAACAUAUUUAUAGUGGUUUUACAUUGCUCUCUACAGGCUAUGUGCAAAAGGGAGAGGCACAAAUUAAUAUGCACUAAGGUAGUAACAGAGAAACCUGUCUUUGAACUCUUCUUUCCUUUUAAUCAGCAUGAGUUCUGCUAAAUAGGAGAAAGAAUUAUGAGUAGGUGGAGAGCAUCUAGGUUACUGAGGGUAAAUCACUCUCAGGGGAGUAACUUUGCAGUUUGAGCAAUGGAAUCUGACCUUUACAUGACUUCAGUUGAACAGGUCUUCUCUGUUUUAACCCAGCAUGAGCAGCAAUUGCAAGGCAGGUACAGAGUACUUCAUUAUGUGCACGAACAGAAAUGCUUAAAUGGAUGAAGCAGCUAUUUACGUAUGAUAGGAGCUAAGUGGGACAUUAAAUUAAUGCCAAACAACAUCUUGGAUGCCAAAUUUUUGUCCCUUGAUGACGUCAGAUUGGAUGCAAUCCACUUUGAGGCAGAAAGUGUCACGAGUAUGACUGGCAUGUUUUAUCCAGGACUAGAAAUUCUGCAUGGCUAUUUGCUGUAGUAACUACAAAGGACAGCAGUGAUAAAAUUCAAGCUAAUCCAAGCCUUCACUGAGGCUCAGUGACUUACAUGACUUUUAAAAUCAAGCCUUCAA
rnacentral:lncRNA from 1 species